rnacentral:rRNA from 1 species
GAAACAGUGGCUAAGACUGGAUAGGAAGAUAAAAGGCAUCUUUUAUCUUUUAAAAGACCUAGUAAUAGGUAUGCUUUAGGAGGGGCUUGCGCCAUAUUAGUUAGUUGGUAGGGUAAUGGCCUACCAAGACGAUGAUGUGUAGCUGGACUGAGAGGUUGAACAGCCACAUUGGGACUGAGACACGGCCCAAACUCCUACGGGAGGCAGCAGUAGGGAAUUUUCGGCAAUGGAGGAAACUCUGACCGAGCAACGCCGCGUGAAUGACGAAGUACUUCGGUAUGUAAAGUUCUUUUAUCAAGGAAGAAAAGCAAAUGGCGAACCAUUUGUUUGCCGGUACUUGAUGAAUAAGCCCCGGCUAAUUAUGUGCCAGCAGCCGCGGUAAGACAUAAGGGGCAAGUGUUAUCCGGAAUUAUUGGGCGUAAAGGGUGCGUAGGCGGUCUAGUAAGUCAGUGGUGUAAUGGCAACGCUUAACGUUGUCCGGCUAUUGAAACUGCUAAACUUGAGUUAGAUAGAGGCGAGUGGAAUUCCAUGUGUAGCGGUAAAAUGCGUAAAUAUAUGGAGGAACACCAGAGGCGUAGGCGGCUCGCUGGGUCUUAACUGACGCUGAGGCACGAAAGCGUGGGGAGCAAACAGGAUUAGAUACCCUGGUAGUCCACGCCGUAAACGAUGAGUACUAAGUGUCGGGUUAAACCGGUACUGAAGUUAACACAUUAAGUACUCCGCCUGAGUAGUACGUACGCAAGUAUGAAACUUAAAGGAAUUGACGGGACUCCGCACAAGCGGUGGAUCAUGUUGUUUAAUUCGAAGAUACCCGAAAAACCUUACCAGGUCUUGACAUGUUUUUGCAAAAUGAUAGUAAUAUCGUGGAGGUUACCAGAAACACAGGUGGUGCAUGGUUGUCGUCAGCUCGUGUCGUGAGAUGUUAGGUUAAGUCCUAAAACGAGCGAAACCCUUAUCGUUAGUUGCCAGCACGUUAUGGGUGGGGACUUUAACGAGACUGCCAAUGAUAAAUUGGAGGAAGGUGAGGAUCACGUCAAAUCAGCAUGCCCCUUAUGACCUGGGCUACAAACGUGAUACAAUGGCUGUUACAAAGGGUAGCUGAAACGCAAGUUCUUGGCCAAUCCCCAAAAACAGUCCCAGUCCGGAUUGAAGUCUGCAACUCGACUUCAUGAAGUUGGAAUCGCUAGUAAUCGCGAAUCAGCAUGUCGCGGUGAAUACGUUCUCGGGGUUUGUACACACCGCCCGUCA